AACAGCAUAACACAUAAAAUUGAUGAUGAUUUUAUUAUUUUUUCUUUUUUUUCUGCUUUUCUUCCCUAAGAGUAUUUAGAUCGAUAUGGAGUGAGGCGAGCGACUGGCAGUAGAUGCACAGCGCAAAGUAUAGAUACGAGUUUGUGGAGUGCCAGAGGGAGACGGAGCGAACUGCUUGGAAGCGGGCUAGUCGCAGAUAGGGGAGGGGAUAUGAUGAAUCGUCUGUUUUGGGCUUGGGAAUUGUUUUCUUGGAGAGGUCGGUGUGGUGGUUGGACGUGCAUGCAUCCGUGGAUGUGUUUAUUAAGUCGAUUUGUAAGGAAUGUAUGCUUUUCGGCUAAUUCAUGUACAUACAUAAUAACUCAGGUUUAAGCAGAUAGUUAGUUUCGUUAGGAAUAUUUUAGGGUCAAGAUACUCAUGGCAACUAGCUUAUCUAUUACAUAUGCGAACA